ensembl:lncRNA
CACUAUAGCUGUAAAAGAACAGCACAUUCCCUGUUUAUGUAAUAAUCAAUGCCCUCCUCUCUGUCUCUGUCAGAGAGCUGCAGUAGCUAUGUUUCUAGCCAUGGGAAAACACAGUAGAGGCAGCUCACACUUCCUGUUUUUGAAUAGGGCCUCUCAGAGGCAGGAAGUACAGGGAACAGCUGGACUGUGGUCUCUCUGUGUUGAGGACUUCUACUAACUAUUGGGUAAUUUUAGGUACACCAAAGUUUUCUGUGGUUUCAGACAAAAACACAUGCUAACAUUUAAGGUCAUUGUUCCUUUAAAAAUAAUGUGAUUAAUACAUUUCCUCACAAUGUUGUUGCCCAUUCAUUGAACAACACCAUUUAGAUGCGCCAAAUGAAUCACUAAUUAUCUAAUUAUGUUCUUCAUGAGCAUUGUCCCUGUUCCUGAUACGUUGGCCACUGGAAACAAUGCUUAAUUAAGGUUUUUGUUUAUUUUUUAAAAAUCAGAUUUUCAAGUUGGAAACACCAGCAACAUAUUCCUGGCUUUUUGAUUUUUUUUAUUGCACUGCAGCACAUUACAUUUUUCACUGUUUUAAAACAGAUAUCUCUAAAUGUAAGGGUCUUUACAAGGUGCUUCAGUCGAAGGGACAGCAUUUACCACCGCAAUGUAAGAAUGACCCUGUUGUCUGUGCCCUGCAAACCUUUGUUCUGCCCCCACACUGGCGCCUAGUCCCCGCCCACUGGCCUACUGCUGUGACAGAGCGUGAUCUCUCUAUCCAUCUCGCGCCAAAACAAAGAGGGUAUGCUAGCGUCUUCCUCUCUUCCCCUUCCUCCUAGAUGCUGCGUCUGGCAUGUUGCCAGGGCAACCUGGAGUAGGUGAAGUAGUAGUAGAAAAGCUCCUGGUUGCCCCUACUGCAGUCCCCUCUGCCUGUCUGGCUGUAUGUCUGUCUCCUUUCGUCACCAGCAUUUCCCGCCACUCUGGGGGGAGGAGCCGCCUACGGUCAAGAUAAAGAAGGCUGGUGCCGGCAUCUUUUAAAUCAACAACCUACUGGAGAGGUUGACAGCUCACAGAAGACCACAUCCUGCUGCUGCUCACAUUAUGAACAUGGGAAUGGCACAAGCUGCCUUUUCUGUAGAUGCAAUUUGUAACAUUUCCUAAUUCAACCCUUUUUGGACAUUUAUGUACCCAUGUACAUUUGGUAACCAUCUCUGAUUUUUGAUAAAUGACAUGUAAGUGCAUGUAGUAACCCUUUUUCAAUGUGUAUCUGUAAAGCCCUUUACAGGAUGACUAUAUUAUCUCUUCCAGACAUUAUUAACAGAUUAUACAGCAACUGCAUAUGUUGUGAAAAAACUGUAAACCAGUCAAAUUAAUGGAUAUCAGUAGUUAUUAGUGGUCUUCAAAGCAAAAAGACACCAUCUCGUUUUCCUGGGACGUCUGCAUCGCUGACAUCAUUUCACAGGCUAUAUACCAGAGCCUGGACUCACCGCAACCAAUCAGCCUUUAACGUGGGUAUUCCGUGGUUGCUUAGCAACUGCUGCUGAGCUGUAAUUCUAUCAGAGGAGAGAGCUGCAGGGGUUUGGAUCAGAGACAACAAGAAGUCAUCGUGGAAUACAGAGGGGGC